ACUGCCGCCGACUCCUGAGUAUCUUCCUCCCCCAAACCCUUGGCCGCUCUAGGCGCCUGACUCCUCAGUUUCCCCUCCCCCAAACCCUUCACCGCUCUCGUCUCCUCAGUUCCGCCGCCGCCGCCAUGGCUUCGUCCCCCUGCGACAUCGCCCUCAAGGCAGCCCUCGGCGGCAAGCUCCGCCUCCUCAAGAGAAUGACCAAGAAGGUGGAUCUGCGGCGAGCCAAGGACGACAAAGGGCAAACCGCACUUCAUUUCGCUGCGGCCAAGGGGUGCCUGGACAGCUGCAAGUUCCUGGUGGAGGAAUCGGGGCUUGAUGUCGAUUCCGCCACGAAAACAGGUGUGACACCGAUGUUCUACGCCGCGUUUGGGGGAAAUGUCGAGGUUAUGAGGUACCUUCUCGACCGUAGCGCCGACCCAUCCAUGGCCGAUGACAGGGGCUCCGUGUCACUGCACAAUGCAGCAGAGGAAGGACACUGCGAGGCUGUGAGGCUAUUGCUGUCCAAAGGGGUUCAUGUGGAUGCUAUGGAUCAUCGGGGCACGCCAUUACACUUGGCGGUUGCAAAGGACCAUGUUGAGGUUGUGAAGGUUCUGCUGGAGCAUGGUGCUGGUCCCAACAGAGUGGCUAAUCACGUCUUUUCACCACUCAUGAUGGCCGUCUGUGGAAAGGCCUUGAAAUGCAUGAAGCUACUGAUUGAGGCUGGCGCUGACGUGAAUGUUCAUGGUUACUCUGGACCAACUCCUUUAACGGAAGCAGUUGAUGAUGGCUUAAUGGACUUCGUCAUGAUUUUACUAGAGGCUGGAGCCGACGCUAACAUCCCUAACCAGCAUGGCGCAGUUUCAAUUGAGCUAGCAGCAGCUCGUGGUCAACGUGAGCUUGUUGAAAUGCUGUUUCCUAAGACAAAACCCAUUCCAUCUCAGCCAGUUUGGAGCGUUAAUGGGAUAAUGAAUACUGCAAGAUCUCCACAUAUCAAGCAUCAGGACGCAUCUUCUGUGGAACAACGGAUAGCUGAUUUGAAGUCAUGUGGAAAGGAAGCAUUUGGGAAGGAAGACUAUAUUACAGCGAUGUACUUCUAUGGCCUGGUAAUGGAUAUAGACCCACUUGAUGCCACCAUGUUUGCUAACCGGAGCCUCUGCUGGCUGCAGAUGCGAGAAGGGGACAGAGCUUUGGAAGAUGCACGACAGUGCGUAAUGAUGCGGCCCCGUUGGUCCAAGGCAUGGUACCGUGAGGGCAAAGCUCUCAGUUUCAUGAAGGAUUACAAAGGAGCAGCCAACGCGUUCCUGAAAGCACAGGAACUCAACCCUAAGAGCGACGAGAUCACCAAAGCUCUGAGGGAGGCUGUUGAUGCUAUGGAGGAGCUGCGCGUGUAAUAUAAGCAGCUGCCGGUGCCAGGUCGCUCGGAGAGAAGGAAGAAGGGAAGAAGAUGCGCUGGCUUUGAUUCAUUCUCCCAUCUCUGUAUCGACCCUGCUGUACCACAUUAUUCGUAAGGAUAUUGAAGGAUGUUGUAUGGAGAGAUGGGUCAUAGAGUUGGUGCAUAUUAAUCAUGUAUAAGGGGAUAAGGAAUAUACUUACUAGCGCUUGGGGCGCGCCAUGGCGCGCCUCCUGAAAGAAAGUUUGGGCGUUGCCAGCUUGUAGGCGCCCUUUUCAUUGCUUUUGAUGCUCCUUACAUGCAGGUCGAGAAGCUCGAUUGUCAUGGAGGUGGGUGUUGUCAUGGCGGCCGUUGGACAUCGGCGAGGAGACUUCAGGGAGUACUUCUCAUUUUUUUUUCCAGAUAAGGUAAAAAUGUUAGUACGUAACCACAAGUAAUGUAUUUAGCUUAGGAAUGUGUGCCAAGGUUUUUUUUUUCUUAGCACCUACCCGCACAUCACCUAGCAUUAAUUUCGCCUACCUGCAGUGUUUGAUUAGCAUCUAGUGAUGUAGAUACUCUAAGCCAUAACCUGGUGUUGUCCUAAACAAAAUGUAUACUUUCUCACAAAAAGUACUGCCUGGUGUUGUCCUAGCGCAUAACAGUCACAAGAAAAUAGUUCAUAUGAUAUUCUGGCAUCAUGGAAGAAAAAAUGCAAGGGGCACUGGAGUAUAGAAGAAAAUGAGAAUGUACAUAUUAUCAAUUACCUGUAAAUAAAAAGUACAGUCAUACUGUCACUUAUCAGAUCAGCUGCGAAGAAAGAAAAUCUGUCAUGCAUGAACAAAUUAUGAUAAACGUAGUCAAUUUGAAGCAUGAUAGUUGUAGAUUAU